UCAAGUUGGAAGGUUGGGAAAGAAGAAGAGGUGUUUUUAAGCAAUGGAAGUAGUCGUCAAACUGCUGGUGAGAAGACCUGCCACUCGGUGACACCCCAGCCUUCUUCAGUCAUCUGCACAUUAUGAACAUUGGUACCAUGUCUACUUCUGACAGGUGGUCACAAAAUUAAAAUGACUUUGUGAUGAUCUACAAUUCCAAUCAAACAAAACCUGUGACUGUGUGUGAUUCUUAGAAGUUACAGAUUGGAACAUGAAGUUAUGUUACCCUGCAGACAUAACUUCCACUUUUGAAAAAGUUUAACUUAUCACUUUAGGAAACAAAUAAAGCAAUAUUUGAUAGUUAUAAUAAAAUAGAAGACCCAAAGAAGAAAAUUAAAGUUUGAAUAAAAACAAUUAAUAACUUCAAAACUUAAAUGACCAAAUGAAUGAUGCAGAAAAGAGAAAUGAAGGCAAUAUAAACCAGCUAAAAUUUAUUGUGAUAAAUCAUUUAAAAAAUGUCAUUAGUUAAAUUUGAAGAAUAUACUCCUAAAUGUUUGGAUGAUCCUAAAAAAUGGCAUAACACAAGACAGAGAGGAGGUCAGACCAGAUUGGAAUAUUAAGCAGAUACAAAAACUAUCUUGGUGAAAUAUUGGAACAAAUUGGCUCCUGGCUGACACAGUGAGGCAGAUGAAGUAAAUGGCAUCCUCUCAUUUGGGAAACAGCUUAUACAGAGACUUUCAGAUGACUCAUCCAUUAUAGGCUGCUUUACUAAUGGAAAUGAUUCAGAGGACAAAAAUGUUGUGGAGAACUUUGUUGUGUGGUACAGUGAGAACAACCCACAACUAAACAUCAGCAGGACAAAAGAAUUGGUGUGGACUUCUGGCAUGCCAUGAAGCCUCUGAAACCAGUCACCAUUCAGGAAGAGGACGUGGAAGUGGUGCACAGCUACAAGGACCUGGGGGUUCACAUAAACUACAAACUGGACUAGCUUGACAACGGAGCUGUACAAGAAGGGCGAGAGGAGACUAGACUUCACAGGGACACUUGGGUCAUUUGAUGUAUUCAGCAAGCUGUUGGAAAUGGUCUGGAAAGUGCAUAGCAGCCAGGGAUGCAACUUGAGGUCAGAAGAUGCACAAUGCCUGAACAAGUUUAGCAGGAAAGUCUGCUCCAUCACAGGUUGAACCAUGUGCUCACUGCAAGCUGUUGUGGAAAAGAAGAUGGUGGCAAAAUUGGAUACCAUCAUGAAAAAUCACCUCCGUCCACUGCAGGAGGUGCUGUCCUGGAGAACUUUAAGCUCUAAACACAGUGUGCUUAGAAGCACUUCUGGGGGUCUUUUCUGUCCAGUGCUAUCAGGCAAUUCAAUGCUUACACCUGAUGUACUCAUUAAGUUUGUUUUUCUUUCUUUACUUAUUGAUUGAUUGGCUGUAUUAUUUGCCCUGUGAGUCUGUAACCUUGUUAUAUAUGUUUCUGCUGCUGUUUGCAUCUGAAUUUCCCCUUGGGAUUAAUACAGUUUAUCUAAACUAACCUAAACCUAAGUUUAUAAGCUUUGGUGCUUUUUAGUGCUCAUAAUACUAUGCUGCUUAUUUCUACUUGAAGCUUUGG